ACUCGAAUAUCGAGUCACUUGGUAUCGAUUCCAUCACCACUUAGGUGUAAUAUCUUGAAAUUAGUCUUACGUUUGAUUUUAUUUUUGUAUGUUGCUGUGGAAC